CUCAUUGUAUAUUAAUACAUUUAUCACUCUGUUUAAAAUUUACAAAUGUUUUUGGUAACCUAUAAUAGUAUAUUAGUAUUUAAAAACCCUCUCGCCAUAAUAUUUAUAUUAAUGUGCAUAUUAACUAAUACGUUUUUAGCCGAUACGACGUGUACAGUUGGUACGUUUGUGUAACGCAUAUUCUUUUAUGGAAACUUACCAAGGAAGACCGUAUAUUAUACAUUUAUACCAAAAUAUGGAAGUGAAAAAUCUGAAUGUAGUAAAUACAAGAUUAAAUACUGUCUAUUAAAACUGCAGUAUUCAAGUGUAUUCUGAUACAUUGACACAAAACAAUAUUCGUAAUGUCCAGAGAAGCGAAGUUACCAAAAAUAAAAGCAGCCGACAACUCAAAGUAAUUGAUCAGAAUCAAAUAACAAAUGAAUUACCAAAACACCGUGUUCGUAAUGUCCAUUAGGGCAAAGUUGCUAAAAAUAAAAAUCGUUGACGAUGUUACCAGUCCACCGAGCCAGAAAGGCGGAUACCAGGCGUUGCCACCACUGCCUAAAGAAGAGUAAGCAAUAGAAGAAAAACAAUGCGAACAGCCUAUCGUCGACACAGUGGCUCAAAUUUUGGGAUUUGUAAAUGUGGCCACUGUGUUCUAUAAGUCAAAUCCCGGGACGAUGAUGCAAUGAACACCACCGACUGUCAGUUUCAAUUGGACACUGUUUCUUUAUCUAAUACAGUUAUUUGUUUAUAGAUUUAAUUUAUUUUAUAUUUCUUAGGCAAAUCAUUUUAUAAACAUAUCAAUAGUGUUUUUUUUUAUGUAUUAGUUAUUAGUACAUUUAUUGA